GCUAGAUCGUUCUCUUCUAGGUUCCAACAAUUCCAGGGCAAAACAGUUUGCCGUUUAUUCCGCUUCCAGGCGAACUGGUAGUUUAUCGUUCACCAGAUAGGACUAGUUUACAAAUUACAAUUCCACACUCUUUG
rnacentral:misc_RNA from 1 species